rnacentral:rRNA from 1 species
GAUGAACGCUGGCGGCGUGCCUAAUACAUGCAAGUCGAGCGAACGGACGAGAAGCUUGCUUCUCUGAUGUUAGCGGCGGACGGGUGAGUAACACGUGGAUAACCUACCUAUAAGACUGGGAUAACUUCGGGAAACCGGAGCUAAUACCGGAUAAUAUUUUGAACCGCAUGGUUCAAAAGUGAAAGACGGUCUUGCUGUCACUUAUAGAUGGAUCCGCGCUGCAUUAGCUAGUUGGUAAGGUAACGGCUUACCAAGGCAACGAUGCAUAGCCGACCUGAGAGGGUGGUCGGCCACACUGGAACUGAGACACGGUCCAGACUCCUACGGGAGGCAGCAGUAGGGAAUCUUCCGCGAGGGGCGAAAGCCUGACGGAGCAACGCCGCGUGAGUGAUGAAGGUCUUCGGAUCGUAAAACUCUGUUAUUAGGGAAGAACAUAUGUGUAAGUAACUGUGCACAUCUUGACGGUACCUAAUCAGAAAGCCACGGCUAACUACGUG